rnacentral:tRNA from 2 species
GGGGGUAGAUGGGUCCUGGUGGGCCCUCUGGUCUUCAAAACCAGCGCGAGGCGUUAGGAGCGUCUUGGGUGAGUUCGAUUCUCACAUACUCCCGCCA